rnacentral:tRNA from 1 species
UCUCUUUUAGUUUAGUAUUUAAAAUUUAAGGUUGUGGUUCUUAAGAUCUUGUUAUUUAGUGAGGGGGAG